CUCACAGUCACCUUUCACUGGACCCUUGUGUACCAUUUCUUACUUCAUUUUACAAGCUCCAGUCAACACCCUGCACAGUCUUCUGCAUCCCAGAUUUGCAAGUAUAUGAUCAGGGAAAGCCUGGUUUGGCUGCCAAGGAGGAUGAGUUAAUCAAUAUCGGAGAUGUGAGAUUGCAUUGCCUACCAUAAAAGAAAAGAGGACAAAGGUCCGUGCAGCAUCGCAGCCACUCUGCAGUUAAGGAUGCAAAAUAUCUUCCAUUAUGACACUGCUUUCAGUGCUUUAGGGUCUCUGGAAAAAAAUACCUAUUAGGCUGGAGUUUUUGUUUCUUAGUGACUGUCA
rnacentral:lncRNA from 1 species